UUUCAAUUUUCUAUUUGAAGCCAAAUUUAAUAAGGAGUUUUUAAAAAAUAAACCUUUACACAAUCAGGAAGUCGCGUACGCUUACUCUUUUUUACGCGUACACAGACACGUCCACCGGAACCGAAAAUGCUACGCGUACGCAAAAACCUUCAUCCGAACCGGAAACGCGUGCGCGUGCGUUUCCACAAGCUCAUAACACGCGCGGCACAUCCUUUGUUGAUAAUAAUGCAUGCCUGGCUGUGACUACUCUACCAUUCCCUCUACUAAUAACAACCUCCUAUAGAUAAUGAAAUAAAACAUGAUGUAAUUAGCCUAUAGAUUAUUGAGAUAAAAAUAACAAUGAUGUACAAUUUUUAGGAGCUCAAAACAUCGGAAAACAACCUUCUCGAAGGGCCAAAUUUGAGACAUGAAUCAGAUUGGUCAUAAAUCAUCACACCACUUUUUAAUGAUUAUACUUUCUGUCAAUAGUCAAUUGUGAUUGGUUGAACGUUUCGUACCGGUAGUGGACAACUGUGCCCUGUCCACGUACCAACCAAAUUUAUUACAGAGAUGUUCAAUAUAUAAACUUGGAUUACAUUUCUUACUGUUUCUGUAUUUUAUUAUGUGACUGAUUUUUGUUAUCAGUUUAAAAGGAAAAUGAUGUCUUGGAGAAUUGUGAACAACAUUAACAGCACCGAUGACUGGACAUAUUUGUACAUAAUAUGGAAUUAUUUGAUAAUCCUUCAAUGAUAAGUUAAUAGGAAAAGAGGCCUAUAUCUAUUAUAUCAAUACCAUUAAAAAUUCAUAUCUUUGUAUUAAGAGGUUAAGGGCUAAAUUUUCUUGACAUACUUGUGGAACAUAAAUGGACCAUUCCACUUGGCCCUUCUUUCCCUUGGUUAUUAUUGCUAAGGCCCCUCAAAACGAUAUUAUAUAAACUUGUGUUUGUGGGACACGCUCAUGUUCCUGGCCCUUUGUAAUCCCAAGUAUAAAAAGUAGGUUCUCGUCCUAAUAGUAUUUUGGAUUUAGGAGAAUGAGGGAACUUAAAAAAAUUAAAAAAUAAAUAAAUAAAAUUGGGUGAGGUAGAGAUAAUAGAUGUGCGAAGGGAUGAGAAACUAUUAUUUUUUUUUUUUUUAUUUGGCCUAAAAUUUGUGUUGGAAAAGUCCACUAUGUUUCUUGUGUAAGAUAUUAUAUAAUAAAUACUAAUUUAAGGAGUAUACACAUCAUUGGUGAUAGUGGCCUUAAGUUGUUUCUGUAUUUUUAACUAGUAAUAUAAAUCUUAUCGUACAGUGUUAUUAGCUUCCUAACAAGGCAACACUUUUUUUUAUCUUGUUUAGCAAACCCUCUGACUGCAAGUAAUGGUGAUUUUGAAUAAAAAUAAAAUUUUAUUUUUGGCCAGUUAGCACAUCCUCCACCAUUUCUAUUACACACUCCACUCCUGUGAAAUAUCCAAAAAAUAAGAUAAAUUUUCUUUCCCUUAAUUAUAUAUAUUUAAAGCAUUUAUUAAUCUCACUAUUAUACAACACUGUUUACAUACAUUCAUUAUUUUCUUCUCUGCCUAGGUGGUUUGGCAAAAUCAUUUUAAAUAAGAAAACAGAAUUUUAUUUUUAUACAGUAUAUGUGUUUUCUGCCCUCUGACAACCUUUUAAAAAUAUAAGUUUGUUAAACAAGGUAUUUAAAAAGUUUCACCAAAUGAAUAGUCUAGUAAAUAAUAUAAUAAAUAGAGAAUAUAUCUGGCAAUUUUUUAUAAAGCUUCGUUUCAGUAAAAAUGGUUGUUGCACUGCGUGGCUUCCACCAAAGCAAUUGGGAAAGUGCCCCGAUUUGACCAACUAAUGAGCAUCCAGUUUUGGUGUAUAUGAUAAUAAUGUGGACAUAAUUCUGUUUAUGAUUAAUACAGCAAAAACCCCUAUUAAGUGGCCUCCUUCUAUACCUAAAAAAGUGCCCACUUAAAAGGGUGUCCCAAAAGAGGGGUUCUACUGUACAGUUUAUGUGAAAUGUUGUUGUUUCUGUGUCUUUAAAAGUACCAGCAUCUGUGGUUUCCAUUUUUCAUAUUUAUUAUUCAACAGAGGAACUCAAUAAUAUACUGCCAUGGAAGAUAAGCCUACUGUAAUACUAAUUCUAGAAUCACGUUUUGAAUCAAAUUCCUCCACUCUGGCUAUCUGGCUGAAGUCCAGCUCAAAAGAACCCAAAAGUCCAAGGCUGAAUAAAAAUAAUAAGCCAACUUGGCUUCAAUAACCUAAUCUUUUGCUUCUAUUUCUUUGCAUUUGUUUAUCUCCGGGUUGCAGCCACUUAUUGGAAUAUCACUCAGCAGUUUUCAUCCUUGUAAAGUAACUAAUUUUAUUUUCAGUCCCAGGGAUUUAGUGGUCAAUGAGCUAGGCUUGUGUUCAAGUCAGUGUAGUGAUAAUUAUGAAUGUACAUCAUGCUUUAUGAAUUAUAUAGAACGACAAGAUGACAUACAACAUAAAUGAAAAUUAUAAUCAGUGGCAGAUUCAAGGUAGAGCCAAGCCGGCCUGGGCACCCCUCCCCUAACUUUUUUCCAAAUUAUAUAAAAAUGUAAAGAAAAAAAGGAAAAUUUUAAUCAAAUUUAUUUCUGAGAGUGCCAAUUCUGGUCAUCUAGAAGUGCCAUAAUCAGAAAUCUAUCCUCAGUGCCAAUCAUGGUGGGGCUGAGGUGGUCUAACUCACCAUCUGAGAAAGUCCCUCUGGGCCCCCCCUCUAUUUCAAAUUCCUGGAUCCGCCACUGAUAUUUACAUAAACUACCUCAUAUAUUUACUGUACGGAAACACGCCAGUGGUAGGUGCAAUGUAAGGGCCAUUUUGCCACUCCAUUUUCUAAUUUCCAUGCAUACAAUGUAUUGACAACCAGCAUUUUGAUGUUUGUAUGUGAAGAUAGGUACAGAUAUUGAAACAAGGAAAAUAGAAUAUUAUGUGCCCCACCCCACACCUAUUGCCUGUUUGAAAAAAAUUCCCAUGCAUGCACAGAGAAUUCCAUUGGAAUUUAAACUAUACUUAACAUGAGUACAACACUGUAUUUGUGCCUUUCAAAGUAGGGGAGAGGCUUAAUAAAAGCCUGACAUGAACCAUGUUUUGCUAUUAUUUAGCAUAAAAUUUAACAAAUAUUUUAGUUUGAAUGCAAACCUUCAGCAGCAGUGCAAAAUCUGGGAAUGUUUUAGCACUACAUAGGGGCCUGACAAUUGAUGAUCGUGAUUAUAAAGUAUUGCACCACUGUCACUAUGUACUUCACAGCCUCCCAGUUUAAGAAAGCAUCAAUUUAUGAACACUGUCCCCGAAGCAAGGCUACUUUAUGAAAUUGUGACCUUUGGUAUUCCUGUACAUGCAUUUUCUUGAGGAUCAAGAAUGAGCCAACUGACUUGACAGUUGAGUACUCAUCCUAUAAUCACAUGCUCCUAAGUUCAGUUCCCUGCAGUGGCAUGUCUACGAGUCUUGAAAAGAGGUGCUGAUAGGGUGAGAGAAGGUUGAGAGGGUGAUUGAUGAAUAAACAAGUGGUGCUAGAUCACAAAAUAAGGGGAUGAAGUGAUUUUUAACUACAUGAGUGAUUUUUUUGCUCCAGACAUUUUCAAUGGGAUGUGGACGACUGGGAGAGGGAUGAGCUUUUUUUGGGUGGGGGGAGCAUGCUUUCCCACUCACCCCAUUAUGCAACUGAUUCCCAGGGACCUUAUAAGAUCUCCAGGAUAUUGUCCUUCAAUUCAAGUACUUUUGAGACAGCUUUCACUUUCAAUGAUAUUUGAUUCUCUAUUAUAUUCAAAUUUAUUGGAAAUAUUGUAAAAUAAAUAAAUGUACUGAAUAAU